rnacentral:lncRNA from 1 species
UUGAAAUACAUAGCCAAAACACUCUGAUGUCAGCUACAAUCACAGAUGAGGUAAAAAAAACAAAGUUUGGGUUUCCUUCUGGCUGUGUUUAGAUGACUUACGAAAAUGUGCAGGUGCCGUCUUUCUCCUAAAGUUACACAACAGACUCAAGAUCGAAAUCCACACAGUUUAAAGAAAG